CACGUAGGGUGCGAGCGUUGUCCGGAAUUAUUGGGCGUAAAGAGCGUGUAGGCGGCUAGAUAGGUCCGUUGUGAAAACUCGAGGCUCAACCUCGAGACGUCGAUGGAAACCAUCUGGCUAGAGUCCGGAAGAGGAGAGUGGAAUUCCUGGUGUAGCGGUGAAAUUCGUAGAUAUCGAGAGGAACACCGGUGGCGAAGGCGGCCAACUGGACGAAUACUGACGCUGAGACUCGAAAGCGUGGGGAGCGAACAGG
rnacentral:rRNA from 1 species